rnacentral:rRNA from 1 species
UCAAAAACAUGUCCUUUUGUUAAUAAUUUAAGGUCUGACCUGCCCAAUGAAUAUUUAAAUGGCCGCAGUAUAUUGACUGUGCAAAGGUAGCAUAAUCAUUAGUUUUUUAAUUGUAAGCUGGAAUGAAUGGUUUGAUGAGAAAAUAACUGUCUCAAUUUAAUUGUUUUAGAACUUUAAUUUUAAGUGAAAAAGCUUAAAUUUUUAAUGAAGACGAGAAGACCCUAUAGAGUUUAAUAUUUCUAUAUUAUAAUUGGUUUUGGGUUUUAUUAAAAUUUUAAUAUAUAAUUAUUUUAUUGGGGUGAUAUUAAAAUUUAAUUAACUUUUAAUUUAUUGAAACAUUUUUUUGUGAUUAUUUGAUCCUAAUUUUUAGAUUAUAAGAUAAAAUUACCUUAGGGAUAACAGCGUAAUUUUUUUUAAGAGUUCUUAUCGAAAAAAAAGUUUGCGACCUCGAUGU